CCUGGCGGCCAUAGCGGUUUGGUACCACCCGAUCCCUUCUCGAACUCGGAAGUGAAACGAACCCGCGCCGAUGGUAGUGUGCAUCCGCAUGCGAGAGUAGGUCACUGCCAGGG
rnacentral:rRNA from 3 species